CCAGCCAUGCCGCGUGAAGGACGACUGCCCUAUGGGUUGUAAACUGCUUUUGUAUAGGGAUAAACCUACCCUCGUGAGGGUUCCUGACGGUACUGUACGAAUAAGCACCGGCUAACUCCGUGCCAGCAGCCGCGGUAAUACGGAGGGUCCAAGCGUUAUCCGGAUUCAUUGGGUUUAAAGGGUCCGUAGGCGGACUUAUAAGUCAGUGGUGAAAGCCUGUCGCUUAACGAUGGAACUGCCAUUGAUACUGUUAAUCUUGAAUUUUUUUGAAGUAACUGGAAUAAGUAGUGUAGCGGUGAAAUGCUUAGAUAUUACUUGGAACACCAAUUGCGAAGGCAGGUUACCACUAUAGAACUGACGCUGAUGGACGAAAGCGUGGGGAGCGAACAGGAUUAGAUACCCUGGUAGUCCACGCCGUAAACGAUGCUUACUCGUUUUUGGACUUUAUUUUUCAGAGACCACGCAAAAGUGAUAAAUUCCCCCCGUGGAGAGUACUCUCGCAAGAGUGAAACUCAAAAGAAUUGACGGGGGCCCGCACAAGCGGUAGAUUGUGUGUUAUAUCUCUGAGAUACGCGAAGAACCUUACCAGGACUUAUGUGGGAAUUGACAGGUGUAAAAAUAGAUCUUUC
rnacentral:rRNA from 1 species